ensembl:piRNA 21ur-386 ncRNA
UGUACGCACAUUGGGUAAACU